GGGUUGUGAGGUUAAGCGACUAAGCGUACACGGUGGAUGCCCUGGCAGUCAGAGGCGAUGAAGGACGUGCUAAUCUGCGAUAAGCGUCGGUAAGGUGAUAUGAACCGUUAUAACCGGCGAUUUCCGAAUGGGGAAACCCAGUGUGAUUCGUCACACUAUCAUUAACUGAAUCCAUAGGUUAAUGAGGCGAACCGGGGGAACUGAAACAUCUAAGUACCCCGAGGAAAAGAAAUCAACCGAGAUUCCCCCAGUAGCGGCGAGCGAACGGGGAGUAGCCCAGAGCCUGAAUCAGUGUGUGUGUUAGUGGAAGCGUCUGGAAAGGCGCGCGAUACAGGGUGACAGCCCCGUACACAAAAAUGCACAUGCUGUGAGCUCGAUGAGUAGGGCGGGACACGUGGUAUCCUGUCUGAAUAUGGGGGGACCAUCCUCCAAGGCUAAAUACUCCUGACUGACCGAUAGUGAACCAGUACCGUGAGGGAAAGGCGAAAAGAACCCCGGCGAGGGGAGUGAAAAAGAACCUGAAACCGUGUACGUACAAGCAGUGGGAGCACGCUUAGGCGUGUGACUGCGUACCUUUUGUAUAAUGGGUCAGCGACUUAUAUUCUGUAGCAAGGUUAACCGAAUAGGGGAGCCGAAGGGAAACCGAGUCUUAACUGGGCGUUAAGUUGCAGGGUAUAGACCCGAAACCCGGUGAUCUAGCCAUGGGCAGGUUGAAGGUUGGGUAACACUAACUGGAGGACCGAACCGACUAAUGUUGAAAAAUUAGCGGAUGACUUGUGGCUGGGGGUGAAAGGCCAAUCAAACCGGGAGAUAGCUGGUUCUCCCCGAAAGCUAUUUAGGUAGCGCCUCGUGAAUUCAUCUCCGGGGGUAGAGCACUGUUUCGGCAAGGGGGUCAUCCCGACUUACCAACCCGAUGCAAACUGCGAAUACCGGAGAAUGUUAUCACGGGAGACACACGGCGGGUGCUAACGUCCGUCGUGAAGAGGGAAACAACCCAGACCGCCAGCUAAGGUCCCAAAGUCAUGGUUAAGUGGGAAACGAUGUGGGAAGGCCCAGACAGCCAGGAUGUUGGCUUAGAAGCAGCCAUCAUUUAAAGAAAGCGUAAUAGCUCACUGGUCGAGUCGGCCUGCGCGGAAGAUGUAACGGGGCUAAACCAUG
rnacentral:rRNA from 1 species